rnacentral:tRNA from 1 species
GGGGUGGUGGCUCAGUGGGAGAGCAUCUGUCUGGGAUCUUGGAAAGUCCCGGGUUCAAUUCCUGACAUCUCUA